GGGGUUUCUGUCUACCUGAGGCCUUCCAAUGAGUUUGUGGACAUAAUUCUGAAUGAAAUAAGCUGUGUUGGGUCAGAGAAGGCUGCUGGGCUUGUCCUUGACUCUGCAUUGCCAUUGCAGACCUGGAAAAAUAAGGUUGUUCAGCCCUGAAGCAAGGCAGCAUCUAGAGUAUAGACAGCUGGAGGCAGGAGACCAUGUCUGUCCCACAGCUUCAGAGCACCUGAGGAUGUAUGUAAUAAGAAAAGUCUCAUUCCAACAUCUUGGAAAUUACUGGGAACUCAUUCUGGGAUUUACUGAAAAACACCUGAAAGACGAUGCAAUUGCUGGUGACAGACAGCCUCAGUACACAAGGGAAAAAGCAGGUCCUGUUUGCUACCUUGAAAGGAGAAACCCCUAGCAACCCUGUUGCUUUUUGACUUCGUCUCCUUGCCGCAGUGUCUCUGGAGAGGACAUCAUCUCUGCACAAGUGCCACGUUUUCAGUGCUAGACGCUGAGCAGCUUUCUACUGAUUGCCAAGCAUGGCUCUGAGCAUGUGGAGAAUGCCUGAUGUGAGUGGUGUUCCCUUGGGGUCUGUAUUGAGGCCAGCCCUGUUUAAGAUCUUUGCUGAUGAUCUGGACAAGGGGGUUGAAUGCACCCUCAGUAACUCUGCAGAUGGUACCAAGCUGGGAAGGAGGAAGUAUUGAUCAGUACUAGAUUUUGUGCUGCUUGCAUUCCUGGGGCAGGGACCACCCAUUUGAUUUUGCAUAAAGCACAGAGCUGCUGUAGCCAUUGCACUGGGAAUUUUGACUAAUUCUGCAGACAGGGGCCCAUAUAUAUGCACUGGUUGGCAAUCCACUUUGCACUGCUGUUUGUUCAGAGCAGCUCAUGUCAGUUCACAGCAGCUGUGAGGGUGUAACUGUGGGUUACAUCUGUAAGCACAUCAUCUCCCCACCAGGAGAAGGUAAAUCUGUACCUACCUCCAAUGAGGGAACCUUGAAGGGAAAAAAAACAACUUAUGAGAGUGAUCUUACUGCCUUUCUAGCUCAACUUUAACAAAAGUUCUGCUUCUGGGAUCCUCAGCCUCGUGGCUGAGCAAAGCUGGAGCCAUCUGUGCAGAUACUUUUACCAUCAGAGGUGCAGAUGCUGUUACGGUGCAGCAUCCUAAAGGGCCAAGGGGGGCCUGAAAAUGGAAUCUGUGUGAUUAAAAUAAGAAAAC